rnacentral:rRNA from 1 species
UACGGAGGGUGCAAGCGUUAUCCGGAUUCACUGGGCUUAAAGGGUGCGUAGGCGGCUUGAUAAGUCAUUGGUGAAAGCUCGCAGCUUAACUGCGAAACUGCCAUUGAAACUGUCAAGCUUGAAUGUGGUUGAAGUGGGCGGAAUACAACAUGUAGCGGUGAAAUGCUUAGAUAUGUUUUAGAACACCGAUUGCGAAGGCAGCUCACUAAGCCAAUAUUGACGCUGAGGCACGAAAGCGUGGGUAGCAAACAGG